CCUGUAGUAGGGCUCGGGAGGCUGAGGCAGGGGAAUCGCUCAAAAAAAAAAAACAACUGUGCCCAGAGGUGGGCACAGAAGACACCCUUGCCCUCCGACUCUGAAAAGCCCCUAAGACCAGAUCCCACUUAAUCUCUUUUCUCCUAAGGUCACCUGGUGUUCAGGAAAGAACUUCGGAGUGUCCCAGGCGCUGCCCCCAUGGGGGCCUCACCCAGUUGAGGUCCCCAUCCCAUCAUCUUAAGAGGAACACCACAGGUUAACCCAAGCGCUGCCUCUAGGCAGGAGAUCUGCAGACACCUGGUCUGCAUGGAACCUGGAGCACUAAUCCAUAAGUGGAGCCUGGGAAGGGGACCUUGUCCUAUCCCAGGACAGAGGAGAAAGCAAGUGCAGCAGUGGCCAAGAGCUGUCCUGGGCCUCCUGACAACUGAGGAGCUGGAUGCAGCGGGGCUCUUCUCAGCCCUGAGUCAGAGGUGAAGACUCUUCCGCCAUCCUGUCAUCAGAUUCGUUCUCCUAACAAGCUCGCAUCCUGGGCAGAGCUUGUUCGUGUGAUGCCCACUUUAGAGGUAGAGCUGGGAGAGAACAAGGUGUUCCCCCAGGGCUCCUUCGCCUGGGAAUCCAGCUCCUCCAGCUGGAGCCCCGAUGCUCUGAAGCUAGAGCCUCACUUUCUCCCAUCAAACUCUGGCUCUGCCCCUUCCCAGCUCUGGGAUUUUGGUCAAAUUCCUUGCCUUCUCUGUGCUGAAGUUCCCCUAUCUAAACAAUGGGGAUUGUUAUGAAGGCUAAAUGAAAUAAACAUGCAGCAACUAGCACAGUGCUUAGUGCAUAGUGUGUAAUCAGCACGAGCCACUGCUACUGCCUUUUGGAUGAAAACACGUUAUUAGCCUUUCUCAAGGGCUCAAGGUCUGCAGAAGAAGAGUUCACCCAUGCUGGGUCUGGGCUGGCUCCUCCUUGCCUGUGUGGUUUUAGGGAACCCUUCAAUGGCUCCUCUUUCCUCCUGG
rnacentral:lncRNA from 1 species